GUCACUCUCGCUGCGCUCCGAGGUCACUGGCUCGCGGUCAGGUACCUGGAGCCAUGGAGACUCCCUGUUGCCAAAUGUUGUGGUUUAAAUCCAGUCUCUGUUUUUCCUUCCUGGAGACCAGGGCUUUCCUGAGACUCAUCCACACACACAGCUCUUCCUUUGUGCUCUGAAGUCAUUUCCUGCAAAGACAGCUCCCCCGGGAGGUCCGAGUCCCGAGGUCAAGCCCUCAGCACCCAGUCUCUUCCUGAAAGCUUAUCUGGCAACUUAGACCUAAGUAUGAGAAACUACCGGAUCAAGUCCAAAGGCUGCUUUGCAAAACCACCAAGGCCGAAAGCAAUGCUUCAAAGGUGCGACACAAACUCACACUACCCAUGUUCUCCAGCUGGGGGAGAUCGAAGGCUGAUGAUGAAGUCUUGUUGGAGGCUCCUCAUUCCGUGGUUGGCUGAAGCCCACGUGUGUCCUCCACCUGAGGCCUGAGCUUUUCCGUAACCUAGAGGCUGGGUUCCAAAAGCAGGGGAAGGAGCAAGAGGGAGAGGAGGAAGGGAGGGGGAGAAUGGGGAGGAGAGAAGAAAAGGAGAAAGCGGGAGAGGGGGAUGGGGCAGAAAAGGAGGGAGCCAGGUUAGAGAUAAGACAAGUGGGACAAAAUAUAGAAAACAGUAGAAACCAUGAAUUAUAAAGAAAACCACUGAUGGCCCAGUCUUCUUCAGAUUAAGGAAUGGGAUUUGACACUUUCUAAAAGCUGAUUUCCUGGAAGAUAAUUUACAUACCAUACAACCUAACCAUUUAAAGUGCAACAUUAUCAUUUUGCUAUGUUCACAGAGGCACAGCAAUUCAUUUAAAACAUCGUCACCAUCCCACACUGAGCUCUUGCUUUCCUUAGCAUGGGCAGUAGCAGUAGUGACUGUCCCCUGGACUGCCCAGGUCUACCUUCUGUCUAUGUACAGUUGCCAGCUCUGUAACGUUGAGAUGUCUCCAAAGCACAGGGUUGUGUUAGGAGCCAUUGUCUCAUCUCACAACGGAUAGAAGUGGGGGUAGGGGGUGAGCGUCUGGUCAGUUGGACCCAACUAUUCAUGCCUAGGAUUAGAGACCAAGGGAAGCUGGCAGCCCUGAGGUCUUCCGCAUUGUCAGAAUUUAGGGAUUUGGGUCCAUUUCUGAGAGACACAAGAAGGUUAAUAUUAAACUUCGGAGUCUGAAGCCUCGGAAGGAGUUAGAGAAGAAAUCUAAUUCCAAGACACUGUCUCGUGCAAAGCACAAGAAAGUUUUCCUUUACCUGUUGAUCUUGAGACUCAAACUGCCUUGGAUAACACCCAACAUAUGGGAAAUGCACAGGAAACCCAUGGGGGUGCAUAUUCUGUAUUCUAUGAUGAAGGCUCAAAACACAGCUUAUUGAGGGUU